CGCACAUGGAGAAGGAAGGGACACGCGCGGAGGGAGCGCGACUGUGAUGCCACGAGAAUACUCAGAUAGCACACGGACAGGCCCACAUGGCAAUGAAUUGCAACUUGCCAGCAACCAUGUGGGUUAGCUUGAAGUGAAUUCUCUAGUCCUGUGUCUUCAGGUGACUGUAGCCCUGGCUGACCAUGUGACUGAACCUGAGGAGAAGCUGAGCCAAAGGCACACAGAUAAGCUGCACCUGGAUUCCUGACUACAGAAACUGUGAAGUAAUAAAUGUUUGCUGUUCAAAGCCAAGGGUUGGCAAAAUAUAUUCCACUUGUUUCUGUAAAUAAAGUUUUACUGGAACACGGUAAUGUUCACUAAUGUGCCUAUUGUUAUGGCUGCUUUCAUACUUCAACAGUAGUAGCUAUUGAGUAGUUGCAGCAAAAGACUAUAUGUCCACAGGACUAAAAUAUUUACUAUGUGGCCCUU
rnacentral:lncRNA from 10 species